rnacentral:lncRNA from 10 species
UCCUGGAUGCCUGUCAUAAGGGCUGGCUUGGAAAGAAGUCCCGAGGCAGGAAGUGAGAACAGCGCUGGGCUCUCGUGCCUGCUGGGAGAACCUGCAGAAGUGGAGAUAAAGAAACAGGCUCAGAGAGGAAGAGAUGGUUAACAGCUAGAGCUGUCCAACAAUGGACCAGACCAGGUGGCCUCAUGAGGUGCAGAACAUCAGGUCCAGGAAGGCGAGUGCCUGUCUGUCUUGUACACAGAUGUAUUCCCAAGGCCUUGGGUGCGUGAUUGUGCAUCACAAAAGACUUACUCCAUGAAUGAAUGCAUGAAUAAGUGAAUGAUCAUUAUUCUGAUUCUAUAGAACAAACCAGAAUGCUUCCAUAUCAACUUAGCCAUAAUGUCAGGCCA